ACUAUUGUCACGGGUUACCGCGGCUGCUGGCACGGAGUUAGCCGGUGCUUCUUCUGUGAGUGAUGUCCUUCCUGCCGGCUAUUAACCCGCACGGCCUUCUUACCUCACUGAAAACGUGCUUUACAACCCGAAGGCCUUCUUCACACACGCGGCAUGGCUGGAUCAGGGUUGCCCCCAUUGUCCAAUAUUCCCCACUGCUGCCUCCCGUAGGAGUCUGGGCCGUGUCUCAGUCCCAGGUGUGGCUGAUCCAUCCUCUCAGACCAGCUACGGACUCGUCGCCUUGGUGAGCCGUUACCUCACCAACCAGCUAAUCCGACAUAGGCUCAUCCGAUAGCGCGAGGCCCGAAGGUCCCCCGCUUUCCCCCGUAGGCGUAUGCGGUAUUAGCCUGGGUUUCCCCAGGUUAUCCCCCAGUACC
rnacentral:rRNA from 1 species